rnacentral:piRNA from 1 species
UAUAAUCAUCAUUUCAAUUUU